rnacentral:rRNA from 1 species
GUCCACGCUGUAAACGAUGGUCACUAGCUGUUUGGACUUCGGUCUGAGUGGCUAAGCGAAAGUGAUAAGUGACCCACCUGGGGAGUACGAUCGCAAGAUUGAAACUCAAAGGAAUUGACGGGGGCCCGCACAAGCGGUGGAGCAUGUGGUUUAAUUCGAUGAUACGCGAGGAACCUUACCAGGGCUUAAAUGUAGAGUGACAGGGGCAGAGACGCCUUUUUCUUCGGACACUUUACAAGGUGCUGCAUGGUU